AACAGGUCGUAUUGUAAGUCGCUUUGGAUAAGAGUGUCUGCUAAAUGACGUAAA
rfam:Salmo salar isolate Sally breed double haploid chromosome ssa11, whole genome shotgun sequence.